rnacentral:rRNA from 1 species
UACGUAGGGGGCAAGCGUUGUCCGGAUUUAUUGGGCGUAAAGAGCGUGUAGGCGGUUCGGUAGGUCCGUUGUGAAAACUCGAGGCUCAACCUCGAGACGCCGAUGGAAACCAUCGAACUAGAGUCCGGAAGAGGAGAGUGGAAUUCCUGGUGUAGCGGUGAAAUGCGCAGAUAUCAGGAAGAACACCCGUGGCUAAGGCGGCUCUCUAGGACGGUACUGACGCUGAGACGCGAAAGCGUGGGGAGCGAACAGG